GAAAUCCCGUCGGAAUCUGGGAGGACCAUCUCCCAACCCUAAAUACUCCCUAGUGACCGAUAGUGAACCAGUACCGUGAGGGAAAGGUGAAAAGCACCCCGGGAGGGGAGUGAAAUAGAACCUGAAACCGUGUGCCUACAACAAGUUCGAGCCCGUUAAUGGGUGAGAGCGUGCCUUUUGUAGAAUGAACCGGCGAGUUACGUUAUGAUGCGAGGUUAAGUUGAAGAGACGGAGCCGUAGGGAAACCGAGUCUGAAUAGGGCGCCUUAGUAUCAUGACGUAGACCCGAAACCAUGUGACCUACCCAUGAGCAGGUUGAAGGUGCGGUAAGACGCACUGGAGGACCGAACCAGGGCACGUUGAAAAGUGCUUGGAUGACUUGUGGGUAGCGGAGAAAUUCCAAACGAACUUGGAGAUAGCUGGUUCUCUCCGAAAUAGCUUUAGGGCUAGCGUCGACAUUAGAGAUUCUUGGAGGUAGAGCACUGUUUGGGUGAGGGGUCCAUCCCGGAUUACCAAUCUCAGAUAAACUCCGAAUGCCAAUGAAUUAUGGUCGGCAGUCAGACUGCGAGUGCUAAGAUCCGUAGUCGAAAGGGAAACAGCCCAGACCACCAGCUAAGGUCCCAAAAUAAUUGUUAAGUGGAAAAGGAUGUGGGGUUGCACAGACAACUAGGAUGUUAGCUUAGAAGCAGCUAUUCAUUCAAAGAGUGCGUAAUAGCUCACUAGUCGAGUGACCCUGCGCCGAAAAUGUACCGGGGCUAAAACAAUUUACCGAAGCUGUGGAUACCUUUAUAGGUAUGGUAGGAGAGCGUUCUAUGUGUGAUGAAGGUAUACCGUGAGGAGUGCUGGAACGCAUAGAAGUGAGAAUGCCGGUAUGAGUAGCGAAAGACAGGUGAGAAUCCUGUCCACCGUAAGACUAAGGUUUCCAGGGGAAGGCUCGUCCGCCCUGGGUUAGUCGGGACCUAAGGAGAGACCGAAAGGUGUAUCCGAUGGACAACAGGUUGAUAUUCCUGUACUAGAGUAUGUAGUGAUGGAGGGACGCAGUAGGCUAACUAAAGCAGACGAUUGGAAGAGUCUGUCUAAGCAGUGAGGUGUGAAUUGAGUCAAAUGCUUAAUUCUAUAACAUUGAGCUGUGAUGGGGAGCGAAGUUUAGUAGCGAAGUUAGUGACGUCACACUGCCAAGAAAAGCUUCUAGCGUUUAAACAUACUCUACCCGUACCGCAAACCGACACAGGUAGUCGAGGCGAGUAGCCUCAGGUGAGCGAGAGAACUCUCGUUAAGGAACUCGGCAAAAUGACCCCGUAACUUCGGGAGAAGGGGUGCUGACUUUAAGUCAGCCGCAGUGAAUAGGCCCAAGCAACUGUUUAUCAAAAACACAGCUCUCUGCUAAAUCGUAAGAUGAUGUAUAGGGGGUGACGCCUGCCCGGUGCUGGAAGGUUAAGAGGAGUGCUUAGCGUAAGCGAAGGUAUGAAUUGAAGCCCCAGUAAACGGCGGCCGUAACUAUAACGGUCCUAAGGUAGCGAAAUUCCUUGUCGGGUAAGUUCCGACCCGCACGAAAGGCGUAAUGAUUUGGGCACUGUCUCAACGAGAGACUCGGUGAAAUUUUAGUACCUGUGAAGAUGCAGGUUACCCGCGACAGGACGGAAAGACCCCAUGGAGCUUUACUGCAGUUUGAUAUUGAGUGUCUGUACCACAUGUACAGGAUAGGUAGGAGUCUAAGAGAUCGGGACGCCAGUUUCGAAGGAGACGCUGUUGGGAUACUACCCUUGUGUUAUGGCCACUCUAACCCAGAUAGGUGAUCCCUAUCGGAGACAGUGUCUGACGGGCAGUUUGACUGGGGCGGUCGCC
rnacentral:rRNA from 1 species